AUGGCUCAGGAUGAACGCUGGCGGCGUGCCUAACACAUGCAAGUCGACGAAGCACUUUACGGAACCUCGGGUGAAGCGAUUGUGACUGAGUGGCGGACGGGUGAGUAACGCGUGGGUAACCUGCCCUGUACAGGGGGAUAACAGCCAGAAAUGGCUGCUAAUACCGCAUAAGCGCACGAUGGUAGCAUUACCAGGUGUGAAAAACUCCGGUGGUACAGGAUGGGCCCGCGUCUGAUUAGCUAGUUGGCGGGUAAGAGCCCACCAAGGCGACGAUCAGUAGCCGGUCUGAGAGGAUGAACGGCCACAUUGGAACUGAGACACGGUCCAAACUCCUACGGGAGGCAGCAGUGGGGGAUAUUGCACAAUGGGGGGAACCCUGAUGCAGCAACGACCCGCGUGAGUGAAGAAGUAUUUCGGUAUGUAAAGCUCUAUCAGCAGGGAAGAUAAUGACGGUACCUGACUAAGAAGCUCCGGCUAAAUACGUGCCAGCAGCAGC
rnacentral:rRNA from 1 species